rnacentral:lncRNA from 1 species
ACCUGAGAGGGACUGGAUGGCCAGGGUGGGUGGGGCUUAGCAGGGCAUCCGGAGGAGGGACAGAUCUCAGGGUAGACCCAGUGGUCCAGGAGGACGUGAGGGCAAGAGAGGCUCGAGGGAGACUCACAGGGUGGAUGGGGAGGGUUGUCCCAGCCCCCACCAAGGCACGGUGGGACGCAGGGCAGGUGUCUUGGGAGGAGGAUGUGGGCAUUGGCUCCAGUCCCAGUCUGGUUGGAAGGCAAACCGCCCUGGCCCCUUCCCUUGUGGGGAGGUGGUCUCAGAGUGGGUCAGGGUUUUCUCUGCUUUGUGGGACUGUGAAGCUCCUGUCAGCAGAAGAAGGUCUCUGUUCCCUACCUGUACGUCUUCAGGGUGUAUCAUUUGAACAGUGGUUUCCCCCGCCAUCUUGCCCAUCCAAUCCCUGGAGUCAGGAAGAUCAAUGCCUAAGCCUCCAGGAGGGAUGGCCUUCCUGAAAGCGUCAUCCUGUGUGUUGUUCUGCUGACAGUUAAAGCGCGUUUCCUAAUAUCCAAUCAGAUUCUCUCUUCCCCAAUGCAUCCUCACAUAAGUGUUUAUAGGAAGCCUACCUUACAGCCAGUGCUUUGUAGGAAGUCUUUAGGGAAGCCUAAGAAUGAAAAAGGACAGUCCUGCUCUUCAAGGAGCUGAUGACAUGCUGGGCAGGAGACAGCUAGCUUCUGUCCAGCUCUUCCCAACCUAUAAUCUGCGUCUACACUCAGCAUCCCAUCUGAUGCUCUGACAGUCCUGUGAGACAGGCUGUCAGGCCACUUUAAGAACUUCACAUCUCAAACCUACAAUGAAGAACCACCUCACACUGGUCAGAAGAGCCAUCAUGCAAAAAUCUACAAAUAAUACAUUCUGGAGAAAAAUGAACCACCGCUACACUGCUAGUGGGGAUAUAAAUUGGUGCCGCCAUUAUGGAGAGCAGUAUGGAAGUUCCUCAAAAAACUAAAAAUAAAAUUGCCAUAUGAUCCAGCAAUCCCACUCCUGGGAAUAUAUGUGGAGAAAACUAUAAUUUGAAAAGAGACAUGAACUCUAUGUUCAUAGCAACACUAUUUCCAAUAGUCAAGACAUGGGAGCAACUUAAAGCCAUCAGCAGAUGAAUGGAUAAAGAAGACGUGGUGCAUAUAAGCACAAUGGAAUACUACUCAGUUAUAAAAAGAGUGAAAGGAUGCAGCGACACGGAUGGACCUGGAGAUUAUCACACUAAGUGAAGGGAAUCGGACAGAGACCAAGAUCACACGAUACCACUUACGUGGAAUCUCACAUAUGGCACAAAUGGACUUAUUUACAAAACAGAAACAGACUCACAGACACAGAACAGACUUGUGGUUGUCAAGGGGGAGGCAGGUUGGGGAAGGGAUGGACAGGGAGUUUGGGAUUAACAAGUGCAUGUAUAUGUAUAUAAACCAUGUAUAUUAACAUAUAUAAGCGUAUGUAUAACCAGACACUAACGCACAUUGUAAAUCAACUGUAGUUCAAUAAAAUACACUUAAAAAAAGCUCAUCAACUCUCAGUCAAGAGUCAAUACCUCCCAAGUUGUCCUCCCAAGUCCUCCCAAGGGCUUUUAUUUUGGGAAGGCUACCAUGACCAAAUCUUCCCUGGUAGCUCAGUUGGUAAAGAAUCUGCCUGCAAUGCAGGAGAC